GGAUGUGAGGGUGAUCUGGCUGUGACAUCUGUCACCCCACUGAUCGCCAGGGUUGAUUUGACUGAUCUGGUUGGCUAGGCGGUGUCUCCUUCCUCCCUCACUGCUCCAUGUGUGUCCCUCCUGAAGCUGUGCGUUCAGUCAAAGAGGACAGUGUUCCCAAAUAGAGACAGACCGGUCUUUGUUGAGGGUAUAGGAGUAGCUGCGCUCCCCUACUAGAACUGCCAAACAAGCUCUAACAACAACAACAGUAACAACAAGGGCAACAAAAUGGUAAAAAUAUCCUCCAGGAGGGGUGGAUUU
rnacentral:snRNA from 1 species